CCAUUCGCAGAAGGGGGAAACCUGCGCAGCCCUGUGGGAAAUUGAGCGAGGCUUCAGCCCACGCUACCGGAAAGCAAGCCCGCGAUCCUGACACUGUCGUAAACGACGAAACCAGUUUCCGUGACGGGAGUGGGCGUGACGCAGUUUGUUUCCUAGACCGCCUUCCGCCUAAAUCUAUUCUAUCUGCAGACCAACUCAGUCCGAAAAGCGAUUUCGAGGGUUUGACUCUGGAUGGCACCCGGAUAAAGCCGCCAGAGGGCAGCCCACCCGCACAAAUGCACCGGCUUGAGGGCGUCUCUCAACCUCCCCACCCGCGGGGCUGGCCAGCCUCACAGCAGAAGCCACCUCGUCUCUUACUCGGGCGUUCUUUUUGACUGACCCUGGGCGAUGUCUGCUGUUAGAGGGAUGAACAAAAUGCUUUUCCAAGCUCCCUCUAGUAUUGAAUUCCCCAGAGAAGAGAUCAAGACAUAAGAGACGCAUGGACUUAACUUCCUCCACCUCUAGCUACUAGGGAGUUUGUUAUAACCAUAUAGGAUUCUUUUUUUUCUAAGCAGGCUCCGCAACCAGCAAGACAAAAGGAUUUUUAAGAAAGCAAGGGAAGGGAAGCUAGUUGAGUCCUGAGAAAGAACAAAUUGGGGGCUAUAAAGAAGUAUCCGUUUGGUAUUUUUUUUUUUUUUUUUUUUGAGACAAAGUUUUCUCUCAUGUUUCCCAGGCUGGAGUGCAGUGGAACCAUGUCGGCUCACUGCAACCUUCGCCUCCCAGGUUCUCUCCUGUCUCAGCCUCCUGAGUAGCUGGGAUUACAGUCAUGCGCCUCCACGCCCGGCUACUUUUGUAUUUUUUGUAGAGACGGGGUUUCACCAUGUUGACCAGGCUGGUCUCGAACUCCUGACCUCAGGUGAUCCGCCCACCUCGGCCUCCCAAAGCGCCUGUCCUCGUUCCUUAAGUGUUUUGUUCAAAACCUCUCCAAGACCUGUCUCUCCCUGUACCCCAUCCCCAAGCCAGACCUUGCUCUAGAUUCUUUUUCAAAGAAUUGGGUAUAGCUAUGUCACAGAAAAGCAUCCAAGAAGCAACUACUACAGUAGUCCAUUCCUAGGGGGAAUGGGCCCCAAGGUUUUGUUUUUUUAUUUCGUUUUAGGGGUACAGGUGGUGUUUGGUUACAUGGAUGAGUUCUUUAGUGAUUUCUGCGACUUUAGUGCACCCAUCACCCAAGCAGUGUACACUGUACCCAAUAUGUAGUCUUUCAUCCCUCACCCCACUCCAAGAUUUAGUUCUGCCAGACGAUACAUGUUGCCUUCACUUCUUUUUAGUUUAUUUGCCUGGACCCAUCUAAGUCAUACUUAAAA